UUUGCUCCACCUGCCGUGCCCCAUCUCCUCCUCAUCCUCUGAAAUCGCCUGCGCAGCCGUCGGACUCCUCCGCCGCUUGCCCACGGAUCGUCGCUUUCUUCUGCCGUGGCCGGGCCGAGGACUACCUGAGGCUCCCAUGACGAGGAGCAGGAGAAAGACGGAGUCGUCGCGAAUCCCGACACGUUUCUCCUUCGUUGGGGCUAUAAAUGGGGUUCGCUUCGGCCGAUCAUCAUCGGAGUCGCUGGUUUCCCGUCGGUGGGGAGUGCAAUAUGCUCUUGUCUCCUGCCUGUUGUUCUUGAUAUUUUGUUCUGGUAGUUUCUUGAUUCUUGCUUCUAAUCUUGCAUUUAAAAGAUACGGUUGAGAUCCCGUUCCUAGUCCCUCGCCGUCGCACGCUUCCAUGUGGACAUCGGAGUCCGCCACCGCUCGCACGAGGAUCGUCGCUUUCUUCCUCUGCGGCUCCCAUGACGAGGUGGAGAACGGAGCCGUCCUCCUAAUCUUUCAGUCUACGUGGAGUGUGAUCUGUACUUCAGUCAGCCAUCGAAGGCUUUCAUGUGGACGAUGCAUUCUGCGACGUGGAGCCGGAGGGGGAGGAAGCCGUGAAGCCGUCGCGAGGAUCGAGAAGUUUCGUUUCUCCUUCGUUGGGGCUAUAAACAGGGCUCCAUCCGGUCGAUCCUCAUCGUCCUUUUCGGUUUCCCGUCGACGGAGAGUGUUCUUGUCUCGUGCUUGUUGUUCUUGAUCUUUUGGUUUGUUAGUUUAUUGAUUCUUGUUUUUAAUCUUUCAUUUAGUAGACAUGAAUCAAUCCCGAUUAUAGUCCUUUGCCAUCGCAAGUAUUCAUGUUGAUAAUGCAUUUUGUCUUACGGAUAAAAUUAUAAAUGGGGUGUUUAAUCUAAUACUCAUAUAUGUCUGUAUGUCUUGGUUUGUUCAUAUUCGGCAUUGGAUACUUAUAGGUAUUUCGAUCUGUAGUGGAUCAUUUAGAUCAUUUGUUGUGUGACCGUUCAGAGUUUGUAAAGUCCAUUUGUAAUUUAUAUUGGCUACGAAGUGUUUACUGAAAUGAUUACAUGUGGAUCCCGAGUAAGGCAUUUUCUCUGACUCGUUUUCCUUUUUGUAGGUCCUAAGGAACCGAGAUUUCGAGGAGGCAGGACCCGAGGUGGGACUGAGGUUUCG
rnacentral:lncRNA from 1 species